rnacentral:piRNA from 1 species
UGCCUAUUGGAACUGUGGUGUGCUCAAUU